rnacentral:rRNA from 1 species
UACGUAGGGCGCAAGCGUUAUCCGGAAUUAUUGGGCGUAAAGAGCUCGUAGGCGGUUUGUCGCGUCUGCCGUGAAAGUCCGGGGCUCAACUCCGGAUCUGCGGUGGGUACGGGCAGACUAGAGUGAUGUAGGGGAGACUGGAAUUCCUGGUGUAGCGGUGAAAUGCGCAGAUAUCAGGAGGAACACCGAUGGCGAAGGCAGGUCUCUGGGCAUUAACUGACGCUGAGGGGCGAAAGCAUGGGGAGCGAACGAGG